rnacentral:lncRNA from 1 species
AGCAACCUGAGGUAGGUCUCUUUACAGUACAAAAAAAAAAAAAAAAAAAAACUUCUACGCCAGUGAGAGACACUGAUUAGCAAGAGCUGCUGAAAGUUGCAGACUUUGGAGAGGAGACUGUGCGACAGCUGCAGUGAGGAAGGAAAAUACACCCACACGAUCCUGAACCCUGUCACUGAACUGUGGAGGUGUGGGAACAGGCAAAUGAAAAGUACCACCUAAAAAAAGCAGCAGUUGGCCCCGGGGCUGUGAGCCAACAGGUCUCGGAGCUGGACAGCCCCGUGCAGUGGGCAGCUUUAGGAACCUGAGGCAGUGGGACUCUCUGUGAACGGACUGAUUCCUGUUUAGAAACAACAGCAAAAAGAGGAAGGCAGGAAAGAGACCCCCCCACCCCGUGAGGAAUGUGCCUGCGACUCUCAUUCCUGCUGGAGGGAGGGAAAAGGGUCUGGGGCUGUGCCCCACUGCUCUCCUGACAGAAACAGUAAGUGACACCAGGACAGAAAGCAGGAGCCCUGAGAAUUCACGGCGCUCUGCCAGGCUUCCAGCAGCCCCGUCCUGUCCCUGGAGUAGCUGCGGGAAGUCGGCAGAGGGGGCCGCGGAGGGCCUGCUGUUGCCACAUGUCUUCCUUGGGACACCCAGAGAGCCCAGCACCGUGAGACAUCCAGCUAGAGAACAACAAAAUGCCACCCUUCCUACAGUCUAAUAGCAAAACCAGAUCUCUAGUGCAGCAAAC